rnacentral:tRNA from 1 species
AAAGCUUUAGUUAAUUUAUAACAUUGGCCUGUCAGACCAAAAUAAUGGGUUGAAGUCCCGUAAGCUUUG